UACGGAGGGGGCGAGCGUUGUUCGGAAUCACUGGGCGUAAAGCGUGCGUAGGCGGUUAUACAAGUCAGGAGUGAAAUCCCAGGGCUCAACCUUGGAAUUGCUUUUGAGACUGUAUGACUAGAGACCUAGAGAGGUUGGGGGAAUUCCCAGUGUAGCAGUGAAAUGCGCAGAUAUUGGGAGGAACACCAGUGGCGUAGGCGCCCAACUGGCUAGGUACUGACGCUGAGGCACGAAAGCGUGGGGAGCAAACAGGAUUAGAUACCCUGGUAGUCCACGCCGUAAACGAUGUGUGCUAGUUGCUGGAUCGCUUAGCGUUUCAGUGACGCAGCUAACGCAUUAAGCACACCGCCUGGGGAGUACGGUCGCAAGAUUAAA
rnacentral:rRNA from 1 species